UACGGAGGGUGCAAGCGUUAUCCGGAUUCACUGGGUUUAAAGGGUGCGUAGGAGGGCAGGUAAGUCAGUGGUGAAAUCUCCAAGCUUAACUUGGAAACUGCCGUUGAUACUAUCUGUCUUGAAUACCGUGGAGGUGAGCGGAAUAUGUCAUGUAGCGGUGAAAUGCUUAGAUAUGACAUAGAACACCAAUUACGAAGGCAGCUCACUACACGAAUAUUGACUCUGAGGCACGAAAGCGUGGGGAUCAAACAGG
rnacentral:rRNA from 1 species